AGCGAACGCUGGCGGCAGGCUUAACACAUGCAAGUCGAGCGGGCAUCGUUAGAUGUCAGCGGCAGACGGGUGAGUAACACGUGGGAACGUGCCCUUCGGUUCGGAAUAACUCAGGGAAACUUGAGCUAAUACCGGAUACGCCCUUAUGGGGAAAGGUUUACUGCCGAAGGAUCGGCCCGCGUCUGAUUAGCUUGUUGGUGGGGUAACGGCCUACCAAGGCGACGAUCAGUAGCUGGUCUGAGAGGAUGAUCAGCCACACUGGGACUGAGACACGGCCCAGACUCCUACGGGAGGCAGCAGUGGGGAAUAUUGGACAAUGGGCGCAAGCCUGAUCCAGCCAUGCCGCGUGAGUGAUGAAGGCCUUAGGGUUGUAAAGCUCUUUUGUCCGGGACGAUAAUGACGGUACCGGAAGAAUAAGCCCCGGCUAACUUCGUGCCAGCAGCCGCCGUAAAAC
rnacentral:rRNA from 1 species